rfam:Coniochaeta ligniaria NRRL 30616 unplaced genomic scaffold CONLIGscaffold_1, whole genome shotgun sequence.
GGGUGGAUGGCCGAGCGGUCUAAGGCGCUAGACUCAAGUGGUAAAAACACUUCCGUUUCCAAAGACAUGGAUAAUUCUAGUAUCGCAAGAUGCGUGGGUUCGAAUCCCACUCCACUCA